AAUGAACGUUGGCGGCGUGGAUUAGGCAUGCAAGUCGAGCGGAAAGGCCCGCAAGGGCACUCGAGCGGCGUAAGGGACAGUAAUGUGUAGGUAACGUACCCCUGGGUCUAGGAUAGCUGCGGGAAACUGCAAUUAAUACUAGAUAACGUCUCCGGACCAAAGGUGUGAUUCCACCUGGGGAGCGGCCUACAUCCUAUUAGCUAGUUGGCGAGGUAAUGGCUCACCAAGGCGAAGAUGGGUAGCAGGUGUGAGAGCACGACCUGCGUCACUGGGACUGAGACACUGCCCAGACACCUACGGGUGGCUGCAGUCGAGAAUCUUCGGCAAUGGGCGAAAGCCUGACCGAGCGACGCCGCGUGUGGGAUGAAGGCCUUCGGUUGUAACCGACUGUCGGAGGGGAGU
rnacentral:rRNA from 1 species